rnacentral:rRNA from 1 species
ACUACGGGUGGCAGCAGUGGGGAAUAUUGCACAAUGGGGGAAACCCUGAUGCAGCGACGCCGCGUGAGCGAUGCAGUAUUUCGGUAUGUAAAGCUCUAUCAGCAGGGAAGAAAAUGACGGUACCUGACUAAGAAGCCCCGGCUAACUACGUGCCAGCAGCCGCGGGAAUACGUAGGGGGCAAGCGUUAUCCGGAUUUACUGGGUGUAAAGGGAGCGUAGACGGCUGUGCAAGCCAGAUGUGAAAGCCCGGGGCUCAACCCCGGGACUGCAUUUGGAACUGUGUGGCUGGAGUGUCGGAGAGGCAGGCGGAAUUCCUAGUGUAGCGGUGGAAUGCGUAGAUAUUAGGAGGAACAUCAGUGGCGAAGGCGACUUUCUGGACUGUAACUGACGCUGAGGCACGAAAGUGUGGGGAGCAAACAGGAUUAGAUACCCCAGUAGUC